rnacentral:tRNA from 9 species
AGGGGUAUGGUGUCAAUGGUCAGCACGUCGGUCUCCAAAACCGAAAGUACGGGUUCGACUCCUGUUACCCCUGCCA